CAGGAACGGGCCGAGGGGUUGCCGCGCGCCCUGUGACGACGGCGUCCAGCUCCCAGUGUGGCCGAAGCGCGCGGCUUCAGGAUGUGGCCGAGCGCAGGAGACCCUGACCGAGAGACGGCAGCCUGGCGAUGGCAGGAACUUUCCAGAUGGCGAGGCGGCCUUCCUUGGCGCUCCAUGUGGAUCCUCCCCGCUGGGCAUCCGAGAGCUGAGUCGGAGGCUGCGAAUUGCAGAGGGGCUGAAAUCGGGGUGCCGGGUCGGGACUUGUGACCUGGGAUUAUGGAGUCAGCUUUGGGGACGGGGAGGUCCAGGCUGCGGCCCCUUAGGCCACGUGAAGGGAGAGCCUCACAUUUGUUCACAGUGCUGAGGUGUGCAGGACAGAGCAGUCCCGAGGCGCGUUGUAUCACUUGUCCGUCGUGCCUUCUGUGUCUUUUGUGCUCCUUGUGUUGUACGUGCCUCGCCUUAUCUCUUCUGGGGGCUUACCAGAAACCCCGGCGUCACUCCUCGCAUCUCUGAUCUCUGGGCUCCUCAGCCCGACACCAUCGAAGCUUUGCCUCAGGAGCUCUCAGAGGCCUCGAAAUCGCGUCUCUCUUUUAAAAGCAUCCGAUCGGAUGUCUUUUAGAGGUCUUGUUCCGAGCUGUGUCGACAGCCGUGCGCCGCGAGGAUCCAUUGUUGCGGCUUAGGUCUUGAAGAAACGCAGAGAUAGGUAGGGGACUGUGGCCCUCAGAUUCUCGGGCAUCCGUCUUGGCAGUUGCUGGAGUUUGUCAUUCCAUCAGCAUCUUCUUCCUCCCGGGUUCUGCGAGCUUCAUCAGCUCGCCUUCAUUCUCACCCGGCUCAUCUCGUUCCGCGUUGUCUCGGUCCUUGCGGCCAUUCUUGUGGCCCAGAGUUUUGUCUCCCCAUUGUGUCCCCUCAUCUGUUGUCUUGUGUGUCACGGGUGUCUGGGUGUAGUUGUCCCGGAGCUGCUCUGUCCUGCUGCCCAGCCUGGGUGUAGGUGUAAAAGGCCAAGUCCCAGGCCCCUGUAAUUUGAAAUUUGUCAUGUAGGGUGUAGUUGGAGUCUAGCGGGUGUUCCUAGAUUGACACAAGAUGUGUGGAGCUGUGAAGUUACUCUGCAGCACUUUGACUUUUGUCUUAGCUUUCUUUCAGAUGCGGACGGAUGAAAUCGGUGGCAGAGCGCCCCAUCCACGGUAAGGGGGUUCCCGGGAGAAGGUAAGUCAAUGUUUGUCUUUGCAGGGCAACUGGAACCGAUCACUGUGUGACAGGUCUCCUCUUUGUCUUUAUUUUUAGGAAGUAGAGCCAGCUGGCAGCAGUCAAGGCGAAGUGGGCAAGGCGGUCCAGUCGCGUUUCGCUGAGACGUCCUUGCCAACCGGCCGGCACAGCUGCUUCACCGCUCCCGUGAGCCCUGCGGAAGCGUUAUGGAACCGUGUGACGGAGCGUUUUCCACGUAAAGGGGCUGUGUGGGUGGCCUUCAGGAACGGGCCGAUGGGUUGCCGCGCGCCCUGUGACGACGGCGUCCAGCUCCCAGUGUGGCCGAAGCGCGCGGCUUCAGGAUGUGGCCGAGCGCAGGAGACCCUGACCGAGAGACGGCAGCCUGGCGAUGGCAGGAACUUUCCAGAUGGCGAGGCGGCCUUCCUUGGCGCUCCAUGUGGAUCCUCCCCGCUGGGCAUCCGAGAGCUGAGUCGGAGGCUGCGAAUUGCAGAGGGGCUGAAAUCGGGGUGCCGGGUCGGGACUCUGGACCUGGGAUUAUGGAGUCAGCUUUGGGGACGGGGAGGUCCAGGCUGUGGCCCCUUAGGCCACGUGAAGGGAGAGCCUCACAUUUGUUCACAGUGCUGAGGUGCGCAGGACAGAGCAGUCCUGGGGCGUGUCGUAUCACUUGUCCGUCGUGCCUUCUGUGUCUUUUGUGCUUCUUGUGUUGUACGUGCCUUGCCUUAUCUCUUCUGGGGGCUUACCAGAAACCCCGGCGUCACUCCUCGCAUCUCUGAUCUCUGGGCUCCUCAGCCCGACACCAUCGAAGCUUUGCCUCUGGAGCCCUCAGAGGCCUUGGAAUCGCGUCUCUCUUUUAAAAGCAUCCGAUCGGAUGUCUUUUAGAGGUCUUGUUCCGAGCUGUGUCGACAGCCGUGCGCCGCAAGGAUCCAUUGUUGCGGCUUAGGUCUUGAAGAAACGCAGAGAUAGGUAGGGGACUGUGGCCCUCAGAUUCUCGGGCAUCCGUCUUGGCAGUUGCUGGAGUUUGUCAUUCCAUCAGCAUCUUCUUCCUCCCGGGUUCUGCGAGCUUCAUCAGCUCGCCUUCAUUCUCACCCGGCUCAUCUCGCUCCGCGUUCUCUCGGUCCUUGCGGCCAUUCUUGUGGCCCAGAGUUUUGUCUCCCCAUUGUGUCCCCUCGUCUGUUGUCUUGUGUGUCACGGGUGUCUGGGUGUAGUUGUCCCAGAGCUGCUCUGUCCUGCUGCCCAGCCUGGGUGUAGGUGUAAAAGGCCAAGUCCCAGGCCCCUGUAAUUUGAAAUUUGUCAUGUAGGGUGUAGUUGGAGUCUAGCGGGUGUUCCUAGAUUGACACAAGAUGUGUGGAGCUGUGAAGUUACCCUGCAGCACUUUGACUUUUGUCUUAGCUUUCUUUCAGAUGCAGACGGAUGAAAUCGGUGGCAGAGCGCCCCAUCCACGGUAAGGGGGUUCCCGGGAGAAGGUAAGUCAAUGUUUGUCUUUGCAGGGCAACUGGAACCGAUCACUGUGUGACAGGUCUCCUCUUUGUCUUUAUUUUUAGGAAGUAGAGCCAGCUGGCAGCAGUCAAGGCGAAGUGGGCAAGGCAGUCCAGUCACAUUUUGCUGAGAUCCCCUCGCCAACCGGCCGGCACAGCUGUUUCACCGCUCCCGUGAGCCCGGCGGAAGCUUUACGGGACCGUGAGGCGGAGCCUUUUCCACGUAAAGGGGUCGUGUUUGUGGCCUUCAGGAACGGGCCGAUGGGUUGCCGCGCGCCCUGUGACGACGGCGUCCGGCUCCCAGUGUGGCCGAAGCGCGCGGCCUCAGGAUGUGGCCGAGCGCAGGAGACCCUGACCGAGAGACGGCAGCCUGGCGAUGGCAGGAACUUCCCAGAUGGCGAGGCGGCCUUCCUUGGUGCUCCAUGUUGAUCCACCCUGCCAGGCAUCUGAGAGCUAAGUCGAAGGCUAUGAAUUGCAGAGGGGAUGAAAGCGUGACCUGGGAUUAUGGAGUCAGCUUUGUUGAUGGGGAGGUCCAGGCCGUGGCCCCUUAGGCCACGUGAAGGGAGAGCCUCAGAUUUGUUCACAGUGCUGAGGUGGGCAGGACAGAGCAGUCCUGGGGCGUGUCGUAUCACUUGUCCGUCGUGCCUUCUGUGUCUUUUGUGCCUCUCGUGUUGUACGUGCCUCGCCUUAUCUCUUCUGGGGGCUUACCAGAAACCCCGGUGUCACUCCUCGCAUCUCUGAUCUCUGGGCUCCUCAGCCCGACACCAUCGAAGCUUUGCCUCAGGAGCUCUCAGAGGCCUCGAAAUCGCGUCUCUCUUUUAAAAGCAUCCGAUCGGAUGUCUUUUAGAGGUCUUGUUCCGAGCUGUGUCGACAGCCGUGCGCCGCGAGGAUCCAUUGUUGCGGCUUAGGUCUUGAAGAAACGCAGAGAUAGGUAGGGGACUGUGGCCCUCAGAUUCUCGGGCAUCCGUCUUGGCAGUUGCUGGAGUUUGUCAUUCCAUCAGCAUCUUCUUCCUCCCGGGUUCUGCGAGCUUCAUCAGCUCGCCUUCAUUCUCACCCGGCUCAUCUCGUUCCGCGUUGUCUCGGUCCUUGCGGCCAUUCUUGUGGCCCAGAGUUUUGUCUCCCCAUUGUGUCCCCUCAUCUGUUGUCUUGUGUGUCACGGGUGUCUGGGUGUAGUUGUCCCGGAGCUGCUCUGUCCUGCUGCCCAGCCUGGGUGUAGGUGUAAAAGGCCGAGUCCCAGGCCCCUGUAAUUUGAAAUUUGUCAUGUAGGGUGUAGUUGGAGUCUAGCGGGUGUUCCUAGAUUGACACAAGAUGUGUGGAGCUGUGAAGUUACCCUGCAGCACUUUGACUUUUGUCUUAGCUUUCUUUCAGAUGCGGACGGAUGAAAUCGGUGGCAGAGCGCCCCAUCCAGGGUAAGGGGGUUCCCGGGAGAAGGUAAGUCAAUGUUUGUCUUUGCAGGGCA